CUAUCUUUUUAUGUACUAAGGCAAAGUGUUGGCAUUAAAAUGUAACAGCCUAGCCUGACCUGCAAGGCACUAACCUUUAGACUCUGCUAAGGGAACAUAUGCAGAGUUCUGCCUCUUUGAAGGUGAAGGCUACAAUAGUAUAAGCUCUUGAUGGUGCUCUAUAUUGUUCAUGGACCUAAGCAAUUUGUGUUAGAAAUUGAAUGCAGAAAAUAUCAAUUAUAUGCAGAUAAAUAUUAAAUAUUAAAUACAGGAAUAAAAACACAGAAAUAAUAACAGCAAAGAGACAAUAUUUAACGUGGUUCACCCAAUCUUGGGCUACAUCCACCAAACAUAGAGUCCGAUAUUAUUAUCCAGUAAAUCGAAUCGAUUACAACCGGCAAUCCCUUGCAACUCAAUACCGCUGCAAAAUGCUACAAAAUUCUCUACAGAAAACCCUAACCCUUAGCCUUUUUAUCAAGACUUACGUCGGUUACAAAAUUAGGGUUACAAUAUGUCAGCCAAUAGAAAAAUAACACCUGAUGUCUUUAUAAAAUAAUAAUUCUUUUUGGCCUGGCGGGGCUUUGCACCUUGACCCCAUCUUGGGGGCGCUGCCCCCAAACCCUCGUCAAAAAAUAUGGGGGGAAACCCUGCCGAUAGAAGUAGGGAAAAUUUAACCUCCGAGUUUGAUUAGGCUACAUUUAACAACAAUUUGGCUUAUCAAUGUCUAGGACUCUUGACUAAUGAUGAGAAUACCGUGACGGCGUGAUGUGUGCAGAAUUUGGCUUGUUUAGAUGCCUUUGGUGCAGAAUGCUUGCGAACUCAAAAAGAAUUAAUUGAUCUGAGCACCCUUUGAGAUGCUGUCGAAAGUUUGCCAAAGCUUGGUACCAAGUCUCACUUGAGCUUAAGCGUAUAUCACCAUGUACAAACUCAAGAAAUCUUAACUGAGCUACGUGCUGACACUGAGGUAGCCAAUAGGGGAGUUGGUGUUGUGUUUCGAGGUCAUUCUGCCUGGCAUUUAGAUGGGUGGACCAGCAUUCUGUAAAUUUUUGGGGGAAAACUUAAUGCAUGCCUUAGUGAUGACAAGGAUAUUACUAUGAGGGUGUGCCUUCAAAUAACACUCCUUGCAUUUGAAUCACACCUGUUCUUGUAUGAAUUGUCAUGUCUCCUUUUCUGGAUUAAAAUAAUUAAUAAUACUAUUUAAGUUGGAUUCACUAGUACUAAAUACAAAGCAGUUAUGAUACCUAUGGGAAUUUGGUCUAAAAGCCUAUUUUUGAGUAGUAUAAAAGGAGACAUCUAUAGACAUCUAUCUUCAUUUGAAAGUCAACAUUCUAAGUUAUCCUUUUGCAUCUAAUUUUCAGAUUUGAGCAUUUUGUUCAAUGUAGGGCAUUUGAGGUCAAAAGCGCUUGGUUUGUUUGUGAAUUCCAUAUUUGGGAUCAAAGACAAAAACCUUUGCUUAAUCUUUGUUUGGUAGUUCCAUCUGGGAAUCACAAUUUUGCUGAUUUGUGGAGGGUUUGAAGAUAUUCGGUUUGCUUCAGUGUCACUACAGUAUUUUUUGCAAAGCAUUUUGUUCAAUGUAGGGUAUUCGAGGUCAAAAGCGCUUGGUUUGUUUGGGAUUUGAGAGGAUGAAAACCCUCGUGAAUUCCAUAUUUGGGAUCAAAGACAAAAACCUUUGCUUAAUCUUUGUUUGGUAGUUCCAUCUGGGAAUCACAAUUUUGCUGAUUUGUGGAGGGUUUGAAGAUAUUCAGUUUGCUGCAGUGUCACUACAGUAUUUUUUGUAAACAAACAUCAUUUCAUUGCCCAAGCAUAUUUGAGGAUUUACAUAUUCAUCUGUGAAUUUUUGAGCAUCAUAUAGAGUUCGAUCUGAGUUGUUUCAAUUAACUUAGUUGAGUGCCACAUUGGGAGGGAGAACAUUCAGUCAUUUUGAAUAUUCAAUCAUAUCAGCUGAUGUUUGUAUCAUUUCUGAUUUCAGUCAUCAUUCAUUAGCAAAAUGGGGAUAAAGUUGUAUUUUGAUAUGUUGCCAAUGUUUACAAGACAAAUCUGAUUUUUAUUAGCACAUUUUGACAAUUUCGCAAGGGUUUCAAAGGCAGAUUAGACUUCACCAGCCAGCUUUACAUCUUCAGUUAGCUGCCAUACCAUCUCAGGUUUCAAAGAAAAUUCAUAAAAAUAUUAUUUUUGGCAAUUUUGAGCAGCAAGCAGGGGUAGGGGUUUCUAGCAAUUUUGACAUUUUGCAACAGUCCGUGCUUCUGCCCCAGGCAGUACAGCAGCUGAGAGUGAUAAAAAAAUCAAUAAGAAAUUAUUUUGUUCCUGUUUAUCAUCUCUGUACUUUUCAAUUGGCAUUGCAAUAAAAUAGAAUAGAUCCUUAAGGGUUAUUGCUGGAACUUGGCAUUUUAUCCACCUGGGGUUUAUGGUUUGAUGACAUCAGUAAAAGAAGGGUUUGUAAAUUGUAAUCAUUCUGUGUACUUGCAGUUUCGAUUGGUUCUCAUAAAGUCAGAAAAAUAUAAUAAAAUAUUGCAUAUGUCCUAAUAGGGAUAUUACAUAAAUCUACAAUUAUUGUCAUAUAAGCUUGUAGUUGCAUCUGUAAUUUUUAAACCUGUGGACCAGCCCAUGGAUAAAGCAAUAGUCAUCAAAGACUUCGGACUAACUUGUUUAAUUAAUUGUUAAUUUAGGAUGGCCAAGGCAACGUUUUGGUUAGAAUCAUAAAAUUAGUAAGCAAUUAUAUCCUAUUGGGAUGGAUGACGAGCAUCAGGUGAUGCUUGUUUAUAAACAUGGUGUAGUGAUGACCGUCCACCAUACUAAGAUUUCAUUUUCUUACUCCCAAGCAUUACUAAUCAUCCUUGUUCCAUGUAUUUUGUUGUUGUGGACAAGUCUCCUUUGUUUGUGUUUGGCAGGUACAAUGAAGACAAUCUCUAACAAUGACAGUCCAACUUUGUGCUAUAAUACAGACUACAUAAGUGAGUUAACUUUUGUUGGUUUUGUAUGUAUAUCUAGAAAGGCUUUGAACUAAACGAAUAAUAUUGUUGACGACUUUGGUUACAUGAUAAUGGGCUAGAACUUUUUGUACCCUAUAACAUGAGCACUUGUGGAUCCCAAUUAUGUUUAAAGAAAGCUACAACCCUACGAAGUUCAACCAGAUAUCAGAUCACAAUCAAUGUAUGAGUUUGGAUGUCAACUAGCCUGGAAGUCAAUGGUGUAAAUGGUCUACGAAUCAUAUAAUAUGAAAACAGACUAACUUCGAUGAAUAUAAGGAUAGAACAGGUACAUUUUGUGUUUGAGAUAAUAGUUGUAAAUAUUUUGGAUAAUAACUUUUGGGGUUCAGCCAGAUAUCAGAUCACAAUGAAUGUAGGAGUUUGGAUGUCAAGUAGCCUGGAAGUCAAUGGUGUAAAUGGUCUACCAAUCAUAUAAUAUGAAAACAGACUUACUUAGAUGAAAAUAAGGAUAGAUCAGGUACAUUUUGUGUUUGAGAUAAUAGUUGUAAAUAUUUUGGAUAAUAACCUUCUUAUAGGCACUGAUUAGUUUAUAGUUUCAUGGAAUUUUAUUUCACUUUGUAUGCUUUGCUGCUGGUUUUUCUUGUUGUGUCAAAGGCAGUUAUGCACCAGCUCUUGUAGUUCAACUUCUGAAGAGAACUCUCCUAUUUUUUAACAACAUAUGCUAAGUGGAAGUUUGUCAUUUUCUCUUUUAUGGUGUAAUUUCAAGAUCUCAUGUGGUAUUAUUUGCAGCAUCUAUUUCUUGUAUGAUUGUUGUUGACAUAACUAAUGCAAAGAUUCUUAGUACUAUUUUUUUUUUCCACAAGUACUUAUUCACCACCAUAAGAGGUCUAAUGUGGGUUAAAAGGUCUACGGUACCAAAAGUUCUAGCCCAUUGUCAUAUAACCAAAGUUGUCAAGAAUGUUUUUUGUUUAAUUAAAAGCUUUUCUAGAGGUCUAAGGGUGUUGAAAUUAGACUUUCAGAUUUAAUGGAAAACUCAGAAACUGAAUCUUAAUUGAUUUGCUGUUUGGUUUAGUGACUUUCAGAAUUAGGCAUAAACAGAAAGAUGAACAAUAAUGAAACACGGCACGCAAAUACCCUGGGAAAACCUCCUAAGAGGAAAAACCCAGCAAUAAAGACCCACAGGUCUGAUAAUGCAUUCAAUUCCAAAAGGUUUGCACUAGGUUCUUACUUCCACAGGGAAUAAGUCUGCCCUUUCAAAUGAAUAUAUUUGCUUCGGGUCUGUAUCAGAUCUGCACCUUGAAGAACUUGCUAUCAACAACAACAAUAUUCACUACGAUCUUGAACAGAUUUGCCAAGUUCAGUAACAACUUUCGCACCUUUAAAACAGAUAUCCUUUUUCGCUGUUUAUGUAUUUAUUGAAUGGCAAAUGAUUUUGUUAUA